AUACUUACCUGGGCGGUGUCAACGGGUGACCAAGAAGGCUCGUGGCAUAAAUCAAUGGCCCUCAUUGCACUGAGAGGGUGCGUUAGUUUACCAUCUGCCCAUGUGGCGGAGUGGACGUCAUAAUUUAUGGUAGCGGGGGUACGCGCCUGCGCGGCCCCUAC